AAGAAUUUAAAGGUCGAACAGACCUAUACCGCUGAGCUACUGCACCCAGUUAUAAUCUUAAUCCAACAUCGAGGUCGCAAUCCUUCUUGUAAAUUUGAACUCCAAAAGAAGAUUACG
rnacentral:rRNA from 1 species